rnacentral:rRNA from 1 species
AGUCACUGACAUUAGAUACCCCUGUAGUCCAGGGUGUAAACGCUGCAGACUUGGUGUUGGAAGUCCUUUGGGGGCAUUCAGUGCCGGAGAGAAGUUGUUAAGUCUGCUACUUGGGGAGUACGUCCGCAAGGAUGAAACUUAAAGGAGUUGGCGGGGGAGCACCGCAACGGGAGGAGCGUGCGGUUUAAUUGGAUUCAACACCGUAAAACUCACCAGGGAAGACUGUUACAUGAAAGCCGAGAUGAAGACUCUGCUAGAUUUUCAG